CACAUUUCAUUACAUCUGUUCCUUGUAAUGUGAUAUUGUGUUUCUGUAAACAGGUAUCAUGAGCUCAGUGGAUACACCAGCAACUAUAUCAACUAUGGCAGACAUGAAGGGAAUCAGUUCCACUACAAUCACACUCUGAACAUGCUGUCUGUCUCUUACUUUGCUCACAGCGACGGGCCGCUGACUGUAGUCCAUUAUCACUGCAAUGCAAAUCAGUCCAUGUCCAUCAUCCGGAGCCAGAGCCUCAGCGCAGAGGGGAACCUGCAAAUCUGGGUAGAGAGCCCUUGUGCCUGUCCAAAUGCCUGUGCCAUAGGAGAUCUGGGUCACGGCACCAUCUUCCUCAUCAUCCUGUCCCUCAGUGCUGCUGCCUACUUUAUCCUUGGCUCCUGUGCUCUGAGGCCUUUCCGGAGCAGCAGUGGAGUUCAGAUCUCUCCGGAGCGCAGUGUGUGGUGUAUGAUCUGCUACCUCUGUACUGAGAGAAGGCCAGCGAGGAGACACUACACAGACGUGACAGACUGAUCGAUGAACUCCAGAACGCUGCGAAGUGUCUCGGCCUGUUAUGUUUUGUCGACAUAAAGCUGUCAAGAGUUGUGGACGAGGUUCUGUCCUACAAUAAGCUGAAAGUGAACUGAAUCAAUAGUAGAGAUAAAUGUGUUUUGCUCUGAUAUUGUACAAAUAAAAACUCGACAAACUUCA